GGAUGUGAGGGCGAUCUGGCUUUGACCAUGCAUCACCAAGGUUGACUUGGCUGAUCUGGCUGACUAAGUGGGUGUUUCCUUCUUCCCUCACCGUUCCAUGUGUGUCUCUUCCAAAGCUGCAUGCUCAGUUGCUGAGUCAAAGAGGAUGACCUUCCCCAGAUAGAGACAAACCAGUCUUCGGUGGAAGGUAACUGCACUCCACUACUAGAACUCCAAACAAACUCUCAAAGGUCAACUGAAUGCACCAGUAAAUACAUCAUGCUUCUUUACCAUUCUAUCCCAAUA
ensembl:misc_RNA 7SK 7SK RNA